ACCUGUUCGGUACGACAUUGCUCACAUUGCUUCCAGUAUUAUUUGCCCGCCUCACCGAGUGCGGGCUUUUUUU
rnacentral:antisense_RNA from 2 species